rnacentral:rRNA from 1 species
GGGUUGUGAGGUUAAGCGACUAAGCGUACACGGUGGAUGCCCUGGCAGUCAGAGGCGAUGAAGGGCGUGCUAAUCUGCGAUAAGCGCCGGUAAGGUGAUAUGAACCGUUAUAACCGGCGAUACCCGAAUGGGGAAACCCAGUGUGAUUCGUCACACUAUCAUUAACUGAAUCCAUAGGUUAAUGAGGCGAACCGGGGGAACUGAAACAUCUAAGUACCCCGAGGAAAAGAAAUCAACCGAGAUUCCCCCAGUAGCGGCGAGCGAACGGGGAGGAGCCCAGAGCCUGAAUCAGCAUGUGUGUUAGUGGAAGCGUCUGGAAAGGCGCGCGAUACAGGGUGACAGCCCCGUACACAAAAGCGCAUGUGCUGUGAGCUCGAUGAGUAGGGCGGGACACGUGGUAUCCUGUCUGAAUAUGGGGGGACCAUCCUCCAAGGCUAAAUACUCCUGACUGACCGAUAGUGAACCAGUACCGUGAGGGAAAGGCGAAAAGAACCCCGGCGAGGGGAGUGAAAAAGAACCUGAAACCGUGUACGUACAAGCAGUGGGAGCACCCUUUGGGUGUGACUGCGUACCUUUUGUAUAAUGGGUCAGCGACUUAUAUUCUGUAGCAAGGUUAACCGAAUAGGGGAGCCGGAGGGAAACCGAGUCUUAACCGGGCGUUAAGUUGCAGGGUAUAGACCCGAAACCCGGUGAUCUAGCCAUGGGCAGGUUGAAGGUUGGGUAACACUAACUGGAGGACCGAACCGACUAAUGUUGAAAAAUUAGCGGAUGACCUGUGGCUGGGGGUGAAAGGCCAAUCAAACCGGGAGAUAGCUGGUUCUCCCCGAAAGCUAUUUAGGUAGCGCCUCGUGAAUUCAUCUCCGGGGGUAGAGCACUGUUUCGGCUAGGGGGCCAUCCCGGCUUACCAACCCGAUGCAAACUGCGAAUACCGGAGAAUGUUAUCACGGGAGACACACGGCGGGUGCUAACGUCCGUCGUGAAGAGGGAAACAACCCAGACCGCCAGCUAAGGUCCCAAAGUCAUGGUUAAGUGGGAAACGAUGUGGGAAGGCCCAGACAGCCAGGAUGUUGGCUUAGAAGCAGCCAUCAUUUAAAGAAAGCGUAAUAGCUCACUGGUCGAGUCGGCCUGCGCGGAAGAUGUAACGGGGCUAAACCAUGCACCGAAGCUGCGGCAGCGACACUGUGUGUUGUUGGGUAGGGGAGCGUUCUGUAAGCCUGUGAAGGUGUGUCGUGAGGCAUGCUGGAGGUAUCAGAAGUGCGAAUGCUGACAUAAGUAACGAUAAAGCGGGUGAAAAGCCCGCUCGCCGGAAGACCAAGGGUUCCUGUCCAACGUUAAUCGGGGCAGGGUGAGUCGACCCCUAAGGCGAGGCCGAAAGGCGUAGUCGAUGGGAAACGGGUUAAUAUUCCCGUACUUGGUGUUACUGCGAAGGGGGGACGGAGAAGGCUAUGUUGGCCGGGCGACGGUUGUCCCGGUUUAAGCGUGUAGGUGUGUGUUCCAGGUAAAUCCGGUUCACUUUAACACUGAGGCGUGACGACGAGGCACUACGGUGCUGAAGCAACAAAUGCCCUGCUUCCAGGAAAAGCCUCUAAGCAUCAGGUAACAUCAAAUCGUACCCCAAACCGACACAGGUGGUCA